GGCUUCGGUAGCCUAGUGGUUAAGGCGUCUUCCUCUGAAGCGUGAGAUCACGGGUUUAAACCCCGGCUGAGUCA